rnacentral:rRNA from 1 species
AUGCUUUUCCUAAAGAUUAAGCCAUGCAUGCCUAAGACUAUGAGGAAGCAAUUCUCUCUGAAUCUGCGAACGGCUCCGCAAACCAGUUGUAAACCAUAGCAGUGUUCCGCCCGGCUUCAGCAAUGGGGUCGGGCAUUAUAUGGAUAACCGUGGUAAUUCUGAGGCUAAUACAUGACACACUAACCUGGCGGGCUGGGGCAACCCGGCUUGCUGGGGGACGUGCGAAAUCAGCAAUGCUAUAACGAACAUCGGGAAUGAGCG